rnacentral:lncRNA from 1 species
CCAGAUGUGUCAUAAAGCAUGACUUGAUGUCUACUUAUAACAUUCCAUAUUAGUUCUCAUAAUUUAUGACUAACCUUAUGAAUUUAGGAAACUAACUUCCCUCAAAUUCAUCAUACUUUAGCCAAAGACUUUGUAAAAGCUAAUCAAGAAUUAAGAACAAGUGAGAGACAUUCCUUCAUAUUACUUGGGAUGAUAAAUCCUCUUUUGACCACUCAUCUACCUUCACUUGCUUCAUGGCAUACCUAAAAGAACCCUAUUUAGGUAUCCGGUCACCUCUAAACCUAUAGAGGUGAAAUCAAAGUAUGUCAUUUCCCAUACAUGAUGACUUGGUGUCUUAAGUUCGAAGACUAGUUACACGACUAUCACUUGAGAACAUAUUCCAUAGACACCUUAGUGAAAUGCCAAAUGGAGUUCUCAUAGUAAGUCAUGUUCAGUAAACUUGUUCUCUAACAAGCACCCACAUGCUAUCCUUAAGUAUCCCAUAUACUUUAAUCUAUGAGAUUGAUUACUUACUUCCCAAGCAAUGCGGCUUAACAUGUACCAGUCUUUGAGCAUUGUCAAUGCCCUGUCUUGACAAUACAAUGACCAAGAACUAUUUUAGGAACAUGGCUUUGAUGUAAAGAGAUCUCAUAAUUGUAACAACUUUACAAUUCUCUUGCAAGGCCUUUAUUGUCACGACCCGAUACUCUCUUCAAGCCCGUGACAACCGUCGCGAUGUCUUGAUAGAUAUUCAUUACCUAGAAUGUCAACCGAAACCUCGCAAGACUCUUGCAUCAAUUUUACGUCUCCCCUGUGAGCAACAGUUACUAAAUAUCAUGUUUUAAAAGAAUAUAAACUAUUUUUAAAUCAAAACAAACAAAAAGUAAUUUCUGUCACACAGGGGUAUUUUAGUCAUUUUUUCUUGAAAAUUUUGAAAUCUGGUGAAAAUACAGCAUACGAUUGAAAAAUAUACAUUUCUUAUCUAAAAAUAAUUUUUGUAAUCCAAAUCAUCCAUUUAAAAUGAAAUUAUGGCUAAUCAAACUAAAUAAUAAUAUUAAAUAAAAUAUUUCAUUUUCUUAUAAAACAAUAUUCAUAGAAUCCUACAUAAACAAUUUUUGUAGCGUAAGAGCAAAAUAAAUUCAUAUAUAUAAUAGCACACUAAACCAGGUAUACAAAAAUAUUCUACAAUGACAUGUGGGCCCCAAUAUAACCAAAAGUAUACAAGAUUGUAGACCUUCGAUUUCUAAGGAUGCAAAUCUAAAAGCAACCCUCAACAAAAUCGGCUGUCUACAGACUGUCUUGAGCCUGAAAUUGGUAAAAAGAAGGGGGUGAGUUUUUAUAAACCCAAUGAGUAAGCAAAAUUCAUCUACAAUAUCUAAAGCCGAGUAAUUGGAGACAGUUAAAUCAUCCUAUCAUAAUAUAAUUCAUAACAUUUAAAACUCAUUUCAAUUCAUAUAAAACAAUUACAUUUCACCAAAAUAAUCAACAAGGCUUAUGGUUCUCUUAAAAACUUGGCUUGUGCCAAAACUCGUACUCGAUGACACCUUGGCCCGGGCAUCCAACUGAGUCCGCCAAGGAUGUUAAAACAACAUAUACCCAUAAAACAUGUUUUUACUUUUAAAAUAUAGCCAUUCAUUUGCGUUGGCUGAGUUUCAUCCUCAUGUGGUAGUUCGGCGUAAAGUGAACUCUAAACUUACCUUAAGAGGUACCCUCCGUGCCUCUCGUACUAAGGUAAAAUAUAAUGGGGUUUACCGUGCCCCUCUAAUAGGCUGGUCCACGAAAACCCGCCCACUGCAGUAAGCUAAUCAAAUAACCCACCAAUCAAUAAAAAUUUCGACAGCAUGACAUGGCUAAUGUGAUAUUACCCAGCCUGUCAAGGUAAAACAAAACAAUUCAUAGAAUCCACAAACCACAAAUCCAGCCAUUCAUGCCAUCACAUUGUC